rnacentral:ncRNA from 1 species
AGAGUCGCACGGGGAAGGCCCAGCCAGCCACCCCGACCCCGAGUCAUGCGUGGACGGCCGCAAGGCCGUCGGCGAAGCGUUGACAGGGGCACACGCGGGUCAGCCAUCGAGCUGCGAAAUCAGGUCCUCCGGGGUGCCGACGCCGUUAGCUGAGGCGGAAGGCCACACCGACGGCGACGUCACAGGCGAGCCGCUGUCGGACCCCGCGCAGUCGGAGACCC